rnacentral:lncRNA from 1 species
CUUACCCACCACCAGCGGAGCCGCCCUACACACCACCUUCUCAACCAUCUAACCCACCACCAUCAUACCCACCACCAGCGGAGCCGCCCUACACUCCACCUUCUCAACCAUCCUACCCACCACCAGCAUACCCAACACCAGCGGAGCCGCCCUACACACCACCUUCUCAACCAUCUAACCCACCACCAUCUUACCCACCGCCAGCGGAGCCGCCCUACCCACCACCUUCUCAAUAAUCUAUCGCAGCCGAUUAUCACCGACUCGCAAUAGCGUCACCACUAAUACCGCCUUACCCACAAAUACCAACAUCGACAUCACCACCACCGGCCACCCUACCACCACCUUCUCAACCAUCUAACCCACCACCAGCAUUACCAUCACCAGCGGUGCCGCCCUACACACCACCUUCUCAACCAUCUACCCACCACCAUCUUACCCACCACCAGCGGAGCCGCCCUACACACCACCUUCUCAACCAUCUAACCCACCACCAGCAUACCCACCACCAGCGGAGCCGCCCUACACACCACCUUCUCAACCAUCCUACCCACCACCAGCAUACCCACCACCAGCGGAGCCGCCCUACACACCACCUUCUCAACCAUCUAACCCACCACCAUCUUACCCACCGCCAGCGGAGCCGCCCUACCCACCACCUUCUCAACCAUCUAACCCACCACCAGCAUACCCACCACCAGCGGAGCCGCCCUACACACCACCUUCUCAACCAUCUAACCCACCACCAUCUUACCCACCACCAGCGGAGCCGCCCUACACACCACCUUCUCAACCAUCCUACCCACCACCAUCAUACCCACCACCAGCGGUGCCGCCCUACACACCACCUUCUCAACCAUCUAACCCACCACCAUCUUACCCACCGCCAGCGGUGCCGCCCUACCCACCACCUUCUCAACCAUCUAACCCACCACCAUCUUACCCACCGCCAGCGGAGCCGCCCUACACACCACCUUCUCAACCAUCUAACCCACCACCAUCUUACCCACCGCCAGCGGUGCCGCCCUACACACCACCUUCUCACCCAUCUAACCCACCACCAUCUUACCCACCGCCAGCGGUGCCGCCCUACACACCACCUUCUCACCCAUCUAACCCACCACCAUCGUACCCACCGCCAGCGGUGCCGCCCUACGCACCACCUUCUCAACCAUCUAACCCACCACCAUCUUACCCACCGCCAGCGGAGCCGCCCUACACACCACCUUCUCAACCAUCUAACCCACCACCAUCUUACCCACCGCCAGCGGUGCCGCCCUACACACCACCUUCUCAACCAUCUAACCCACCACCAUCUUACCCACCGCCAGCGGUGCCGCCCUACUCACCACCUUCUCAACCAUCUAACCCACCACCAUCUUACCCACCGCCAGCGGUGCCGCCCUACACACCACCUUCUCAACCAUCUAACCCACCACCAUCUUACCCACCGCCAGCGGUGCCGCCCUACACACCACCUUCUCAACCAUCUAACCCACCACCAUCUUACCCACCGCCAGCGGUGCCGCCCUACACACCACCUUCUCACCCAUCUAACCCACCACCAUCUUACCCACCGCCAGCGGUGCCGCCCUACGCACCACCUUCUCAACCAUCUAACCCACCACCAUCUUACCCACCGCCAGCGGAGCCGCCCUACACACCACCUUCUCAACCAUCUAACCCACCACCAUCUUACCCACCGCCAGCGGUCACGCCCUACACACCACCUUCUCAACCAUCUAAACCACCACCAUCUUACCCACCGCCAGCGGUGCCGCCCUACUCACCACCUUCUCAACCAUCUAAACCCACCACCAUCUUACCCACCGCCAGCGGUGCCGCCCUACACACCACCUUCCCAACCAUCUAACCCACCACCAUCUUACCCCCCGCCAGCGGUGCCGCCCUACACACCACCUUCUCAACCAUCUAACCCACCACCAUCUUACCCACCGCCAGCUGUGCCGUCC